rnacentral:rRNA from 1 species
CCGGGACCAUCCGGUAAGGCUAAAUACUCCCGAGAGACCGAUAGUGAACCAGUACCGUGAGGGAAAGGUGAAAAGCACUUCGAACAGAAGAGUGAAAUAGUUCCUGAAACCGUGCGCCUACAAGCGGUCGGAGCAGCGUAAGCUGUGACGGCGUGCCUUUUGCAUAAUGAACCUACGAGUUACCGUUGCCGGCAAGGUUAAGGGUCAUGAGGCCUGUAGCCGAAGCGAAAGCGAGUCUGAACAGGGCGUAUAGUCGGUAGUGGUAGACGCGAAACCAAGUGAUCUACCCUUGAGCAGGUUGAAGUCCGGGUAACACCGGAUGGAGGACCGAACCAAUAAGCGUUGAAAAGCUUCUGGAUGACUUGAGGGUAGGGGUGAAAGGCUAAUCAAACUUGGAGAUAGCUCGUACUCCCCGAAAUGCAUUUAGGUGCAGCCUUGACCAUUACUAAUGUGAGGUAGAGCGACUGAUAAGAUGCGAGGGCUUCACCGCCUAUCAAGUCUUGAUAAACUCCGAAUGCGCAUUAGUUUGAGGUCAGGAGUGAGGGCAUGGGUGCUAAGGUCCGUGCCCGAGAGGAGAAGAAUCCGGACCACCUGCUAAGGUCCCGAAAUAACAGCUAAGUUAAACUAACGAAGUCAGAUUGCUAAGACAGCUAGGAUGUUGGCUUGGAAGCAGCCAUUCAUUUAAAGAGUGCGUAACAGCUCACUAGUCGAGGAGUUUGGCGUGGAUAAUAAUCGGGCAUCAAGUAUUCUACCGAAGCUUUGGGAUGUGUAAACAUCGGUAGGGGAGCAUUCCACUCGGCAUUGAAGGUGAGGCGUGAGCCUUGCUGGAGCGUGUGGAAAAGCAAAUGUAGGUAUAAGUAACGAUAAAGGGGGUGAGAAACCCCCUCGCCGAAAGACUAAGGUUUCCUGAUCAACGCUAAUCGGAUCAGGGUUAGUCGGGUCCUAAGGCUCAGCCGAACGGCGAGGCCGAUGGCAGAACCGGUUAAUAUUCCGGUACUACCUCAAGGAGUGACGUGGAGACGGAGCAGUGACAGUGCCGCGGACUGACGGAAUAGUCCGUUAAAGGGUGUAGAUGUUGAUUCCUGCAGGCAAAUCCGCAGGAAGAGUCGAACCUGAGAGUAUGGAGCGUCCUUCGGGACAAUCCAAUAGUGCACGUAAACAUACUCCCGAGAAAAUCCGCUAAACUUAAUCCUUGUGGUACCCGUACCGCAAACGGACACACGUAGUCGGGUUGAAUAUACUAAGGCGCUUGAGUGAUUCACGGUUAAGGAACUAGGCAAACUGACCCUGUAACUUCGGGAUAAAGGGUCCUCAGGGUGACUUGAGGCGCAGAGAAUCGGUCCAGGCAACUGUUUAACAAAAACACAGGGCUGUGCAAAAUAGAAAUAUGAAGUAUACAGCCUGACACCUGCCCGGUGCUGGAAGGUUAAGAGGAGAUGUCAUCGCAAGAGAAGCAUUGAAUUGAAGCCCCAGUAAACGGCGGCCGUAACUAUAACGGUCCUAAGGUAGCGAAAUUCCUUGUCGGGUAAGUUCCGACCUGCACGAAUGGUGUAAUGAUCUGGACGCUGUCUCAACCGUGAGCUCAGUGAAAUUGUAGUAUCGGUGAAGAUGCCGAUUACCCGCGAUGGGACGAAAAGACCCCGUGAACCUUUACUAUAGCUUAACAUUGAAUUUGGGUAAUUGAUGUGUAGGAUAGGCCGGAGGCUUUGAAGCAGGUACGCCAGUAUUUGUGGAGCCGCUGUUGAAAUACGGCCCUUUGAUUAUUUGAGUUCUAACCCGUUGUAACGGGGACACUGUUUGGUGGGUAGUUUGACUGGGGUGGUCGCCUCCAAAAGUGUAACGGAGGCUUCUAAAGGUGCCCUCACGACGAUUGGUAACCGUCGGCAGAGUGUAAUGGCAUAAGGGCGCUUGACUGGGAGACUAACAAGUCGAUCAGGUAG